GGAGUAUGGGCCGUGUCUCAGUCCCAUUGUGGCUGAUCAUCCUCUCAAACCAGCUACUGAUCGUCGCCUUGGUGGUCCAUUACACCGCCAACAAGCUAAUCAGAUGCAGACUCAUCCUUGAGCACCGGAGUUUUCAAGAUUGGUAUUUCAACCAAGCUCAUAUGGGGUAUUAGCAGAAGUUUCCCUCUGUUGUCCCCCGCUCAAGGGCAGAUUCUCUACAUAUUACUCACCCGUCCGCCACUUUCCUCUCCAGCAAGCUGGAGAUUCUCGUUCGACUUGCAUGUAUGAAGCACGCCGCCAGCGUGUCCUGAGCCACGGAGUCAAACUACU
rnacentral:rRNA from 1 species